rnacentral:rRNA from 1 species
GUCCACGCCCUAAACGAUGCGAACUAGGUGUUGGGGAAGGAGACUUCCUUAGUACCGCAGCUAACGCGUGAAGUUCGCCGCCUGGGGAGUACGGUCGCAAGAUUAAAACUCAAAGGAAUUGACGGGGACCCGCACAAGCGGUGGAUGAUGUGGAUUAAUUCGAUGCAACGCGAAAACCUUACCUACCCUUGACAUGUACCGAAGCCUGGCGAGAGCUAGGUGUGCCCGAAAGGGAGCGGUAACACAGGUGCUGCAUGGCUGUCGU